UGUAUGAACUCUUGACUAAGUUGCUUUGGAUAAAAGCAUCUGCUGAAUGGCAUAUA
rfam:Salmo salar isolate Sally breed double haploid chromosome ssa19, whole genome shotgun sequence.